rnacentral:rRNA from 1 species
GAGUUUGAUCAUGGCUCAGAUUGAACGCUGGCGGCAUGCCUUACACAUGCAAGUCGAACGGCAGCAUGAUCUAGCUUGCUAGAUUGAUGGCGAGUGGCGAACGGGUGAGUAAUACAUCGGAACGUGCCCUGUAGUGGGGGAUAACUAGUCGAAAGAUUAGCUAAUACCGCAUACGACCUGAGGGUGAAAGUGGGGGACCGCAAGGCCUCAUGCUAUAGGAGCGGCCGAUGUCUGAUUAGCUAGUUGGUGGGGUAAAGGCCCACCAAGGCGACGAUCAGUAGCUGGUCUGAGAGGACGAUCAGCCACACUGGGACUGAGACACGGCCCAGACUCCCACGGGAGGCAGCAGUGGGGAAUUUUGGACAAUGGGCGAAAGCCUGAUCCAGCAAUGCCGCGUGUGUGAAGAAGGCCUCGG